rnacentral:lncRNA from 1 species
AUGUAUUAUUUUAAUAUAUGGUUUAUUAUAUAAUAAUUAGAUUAAGUGUGAAAUAAUGAUUAUUUUGGAGUUUGGGAAAUAAUAGUAAUUAAUAGAAUUUAUGGGGAGGUAAGUGUAAAUAGAAGGGAGUUACAUUUUAGUGGGAAGUUAAUACAGAGAAGUGAGAAACCAGUUUCACGUAGAAGCAGUUUUUGGGAGAAAACAAGAGAAAACCAGGAGCAAGAGAGAAGAACCAGAGGAACCCUUUUUGCUGUGCAUUUUUCAUUCUGAAUUAAGGUAAGGGUGAGGUUUACUUCAAUAGUAUAGAUUUUAAAAGUCUGAUUUGAGUUUAACAGGUUUUUGGAGUGAAAUUGAGGAAUUGGGUUUUAAUUGAAUUUAUGGUUUUUGGAGUAGAUAUUGCUGUUCCGAAGUUAGAAUUUGGUUUUGGUUGCAUAGAAACAUUCAUUUCUCAUCUGUAAACUAAAUUGGGGAGUGAAUUGAAGAAAAAUGGGAUUUUGGGGAAAAACAUGUUUUCUGCCCGUACAGAAGUUCAUCGCUCGCCACGCGAGCAACUGUGCUCGCCAUGGCGAGUGAGCAACUUCAUAGCUCGCCUCGCGAGCAAUCCAACUCGCCAUGGCGAGUAGCCCAGAUUAAAACUUAAUUUUUGAAAAGUUGUUAUAAGAUGUUUUGGGGAUGGUUUAAGGUACCUAGAUGAUUUUAAUGAUGAAUGGUGGAAGUUUUAGGUUAGAAAGAUGAAUAGGGAGCUUAGAAUUGGAGUUUGAGUGAGAAAAUAGCAUUUUUCCCGAGAGCACCUAAUUUUCACUCGCCUCGAGUUCGCCUUGAACUCGCCAUGGCGAGCUAGUGUUUUUGUGAACUCGCCAUGGCGAGCAGAUGUGCUCGCGAGGCGAGCUACUCAGUUCCUGUAUGUUGAAUUUCGUGCUUGAAUGGUAGUACCUUAAUGUUGUUGUGUUGAGCAUAGUUUCAUGUGAUUAUGCAUUAUUGUGGUUGUUUUGAUUGCUGGAUUGAUGAUUGCUGAUGAUGAAUGAAAUGUAUGCAAAGUAUUGAAUCAUACAUGUUGUUUAAGUGGAGUCACAUGGAGUUGCAUUGCAUGGUCAGUUGUAUGUAGAUAUACGCAAGUAGGUCCAUUGCAUAUGCAUAAAAACAGCGGUGAGGGCUUCGGUCCUGGAGUACUAGUUGCUCAACAGCGGUGAGGGCUUCGGUCCUGAUGAAUGCUUUAACCAUUCAAAAGCGGUGAGGGCCUCGGUCCUGAUUGGUACCACAUGCAUAAUUGCAUUUCAUUUAGAAGUCUAAGAUGGUGUCUUAGCAGUGGUCAUGUCAUUUGCAUGAGUCUUGGUUGUUGUUCGGUUUUAUCUGAUGUUGAUGUUGAUGUUGAAUAUCCAUUUAUUCAUAUAUAUUCAUUGUGAUCUUGAUGUGUUGUUGAUGUUAUUGGUAAUAUGUACAUUGUAUACAUACUUGCUAAAUGGAUUAUUAUGGUGAUGUUGUUGUGGCUUGUGAAUUAAAUAUUGAUAUUUACAAGAUUAAUAUGUUUGAAGUAAUAGGGUGUUAGAUUCAUUUGAUGAUUUUAAUAUCUAUAUUUAUUGUUGUGAAUCUCACCCCUUCUGCUUGAAAACGUUGCCCUUCCUAUGGGUAACUUGCAGGUGAUCCUGAGUAGUAGGUGGUGGCUCAUUGUCGUGUCUAGGGCUCUGAUACGUGGGAUGGG